rnacentral:lncRNA from 1 species
UUUGAUUAGAAAUGGACAAAGAUCGAUGACAUUGGAGCUGUUUGGAGCAGAUCCAAAUCUCUAGUCUUCAUGAAGUGCAGUCAGAUUGGAAUCGAUUGGGGAUAAUGAUGCAUAUAUGCAUGUUGUGCUUAUAAUAUAAGUUCCAGAUUGGAGGCUUUAGAAUACAAUAGGCAAGAACAAUGAUUUAUCUUUAAUUGGAAUCAACUCUUGGUAACAUUAUAAUACUUUAAACCCAACUUCUACAACCAGGUUCAUCCGAUUCAUAGACCUUUUUCAUGAAACAAAAAUAAAUUUUCGUUUGCAAUCUUCAAGCACAACAAUUUCUUAUCCUCCAAAUUCUUUCAUACCACACAACAAACGUCAUUAUACCUAUCGUCUAUAGAGGUUCGUAUUAGUCGCAAUUGAAGGAAAUGGAUGACGUCGAUGUAAAAGAGUGAACAAAGUUUAUAGAAUUGCAGAUGUAAAACUUACCGGAUACGCGAAAUAAAAGACGUUUGACGCCCAAUUUGGAACACCAAUCUGAGUCUUCGGAUCGAUGAGAUCACUUUUCACGUUGAUACCUGAAAAUAAUGACGAAGCGGUGCAGAUAUGUGAAGAGAUAUGAACAAUGAAGAAACAGAGGAAGCGGUGCGCAUUAGGAGGUUUUGUAGACUUUUCUAUAGCGAGCAGAUGUCUCACAGUGAAUAGUGGGUUGAUUAGAUAGAAAAAGUACAAAAUUGUAAUUGAAAACAAUCACCCAAAGUCCCAAACCCAGAUUUCAGAAAUUUAUAAGCAAAGAACGGGCAAAGAGGGACAUGGAGAGAAUGACCAGAAGUUAAUGAACGGUAGUAGCUUUCUAGGUGCAAACUGCCUCUGGAAGCAAUCGCCAUUCUCAAUCGGUUCUCUUUCACUUUCUCAUCCGUCUCUAUCUCUUUCUGCCUUUCUCAGCCAUCUCUAUCUCUUUUUGCGUGGCAACAGAAGAAAGACACGCGUGAUAGUGCGGUGGCAACCCAGAAGAGGCGGUUAGGGAGAAAAUAGUAGAACCGUGAAUAACUGGGACACAGGGACGAAUAUGUAAGUACUGAGAGGCCUUAUGAACAGUGCAAGCAGCUUGCACGCUUUUUACUAUAUAGGGAAAUUAACCUAAUUGUAUUCUCAAUAAAUCCAAAAUGUUUUUAUGAACAAAUUCAUGCACAGAUUCUUAAUACAUAAGUCCAAAGGUACAAGAAUUGAGAUAAACUACCUCAUCGGAUGUCUUGGGGACCUUCCUAGGAGUCAAGAGGGGUACAACUCUCAAUGGAAAGUGCGAGCUACGCGACUGGAGUACCUAAGAGUGCAUCAUUGUACGUUGCAGAACCUCCGCCAUCAAAGAUGUCGGCCUAGUCGUUUUUGUAAAUCGCGAUUCUCACUAACGCCAGCUUGUGCAGUUCUCCGGUUAGAGAAUCGUGGUAUCUUUUGUCGCUUCAGUCUUUUCAUUCAGUUUAGGUUCGAGGCUGUGGUUGCGCGGCUGCGCUAAUAUGUUUUUACUUUCAAGGUUAGAGGCAUUUCAGUUCUAAACGGAGACGUUACACAUGAGUGAGAUUCCCAUCUAUUAUUCAGUUGGACACGUGUCACGCAGUAAGUGGUUGGGAACACCAAAUAAGCUUGACAGUUGGUGUUCCGGUCACAGCAAAUAAUUUCUCUUGUUUUAUUUAUAUUGAGACAAAUUUAUCAAAAACUUAGAUUGAAGAUAUAAAUGCAUGACAAAUUUAGUCAUUUAGGGGCUAAAAAACUCUUGAAAGUUUUAGAAAAAGCUGGAUGCAUGGGCUUCACUAAUUUAAGGGCUUUAUAUGUAUGAGGACUGUAGGAUAUGCUAGUUAAGUCAUGACUGCAGGCUUGCAUUUGGUUGGAUAUAACCCAAAUUUAGACAAGGAAUAAACAGAACACAAAUAAAAAUUCUUUAGCUUUUUUUUAUUGUUUGAACUUUGAAGAAGAAUAAUUAAGGAUAGAAAGAAGAACAAAGGGGUAAAUUAGUCUUUUAAUGUUAAAAAAUGUCUGCCGUCAGUGUUUUUUAACGAAACUAACAGUUCCAAAUACUGUUUCUGGAUCGAGAUAAGAACGUGAGAUACUGUUUUAAAGUUUUUAAAAUAUGAGAUACCAAAUGUUUCUUUAGACAAUUUUCUCUUCGUUAUCGGUUGAAAAUCAAAACUCUAACCACAUUCAUGACUAAAAAAAAAAAAAAANNN